AAAGAAAAUUUAGCCCACUACUUUGUCAUCCUCCGCGCUUCACUAUUCACGGGCCUUCAAUCUUCAGAUUUCACGCUUCAAUAUUCCCUCCACUAAAUUAAGCAACUUUCUCCCUCUAUCUUGAUUCACGCUCUAUUCUUUAAUCUUCAUGAUUCACCUUCCUCAAUUUUCAAUUCUUUCAAAAUUCUGUGAUUCUUCUUCAAUUACUUCUCAGUUUCUUAGAGCUUUUCAUCAAUUAUCUCUACUAUAUAUGGAAAGUUGGGGGUUUUUUACUCACUCUAAUAGGAAAAAAAUUAUUUGUAUCCAAUUUGAGAUUUUCAUUCAUUAUCAAUGGCAAGCAACAAUUAAUUUUGAUUUCUCCUAAAUUUUUCAUCACAAACGGCUAAUAUUUGAGAGGUAUUUUCAAGGUUCUUAAUCAUCCACUUCCCAAUUUUCAAUCGGGUUCAUUGAAGAUUUAAAAUAAUUGACUCAAGAGUAGCAUCAACAACAUCAAAUGCACUGUUUGUUAACUUUGCUUCUUUGUCACCAGUCACCACCCUGGUGCAUUAACUUGUUCACUAAAGACCAUUUGCUUUUCUGGGAUUCGGACUUUGCACCACCAAUGUAGGACAACACGGACUUAAAGAUAUCAAGGGUUACCCCCUCUACAUCUUUCAACGCGCUCUUGAUGGAAGCAUCCUCUGUAGUUCUUUGGUUUGUUUCCUUGAUAGUGUUUUUCAGGCACUUCUUGAUCAUCUUUCUUGCACUUUUUCGAGUGUUUAAGUAUUGAACGAUUUCAUUGUUAAUGUUAAGUUCACCGCUAGACCUUCUUCUUAGUACCGAUUGUAUGUCUUGGAGGCGUUCCUUUGACUGUACCAAGACAUCUCUUGAUGUGGUACACAUGUCGAGAAGUCUUAGAGAUCCAUCCAAGACCUCCUCGACCCAUUUUGAGGGUAGAUUUUGUGAAACAGCUUGUUGAUUAAGGGGAAGUUGAAGCAACUCAUCAACACAACAAUACAAAUUUUUAAGGUUUGUAAGUGUUUGGUAUAAUGAUGAUGAAGUAGAGGCAGCUUGAGAAGAUCUCAAUCUGCUCAAUUGUUGAUCAAAUUGAUCAACAACUGGGUGUGCUAUUGAUGGACAACUAGAAGAACGAGCGUGAUCAUUAACUCCAAAGUAGCAUCAACAGCAUCGAAUUCGCUGAUGGAUGCUGUUGAAUCCUUCUCAGCUUUUGGCUGAUAACUUUUGAGAAAGACCAGCUACUUUUUGGUGAUCCACUGAUAUAGUAUAACAAUGACUUGAAGACAUCAACUGUCAAUGCUUGCACAUCCUUAAGGACAUUGGCCUCGUUAGUAUUGUCGACUUCUAUGAUAUCUUUCAAGCACUUCUUGAUUAUCUUCUUGGAUGUUUUCCGGGUUUUUAAGUAUUCAACGACUUCACUAGUGAUGUUAAAUUCACUGCUACACCUUCUUCGAAGCCUGAUUGAAUGUCUUGGAGCUGUUCCUUAGAGUGUACCAAGGCAUCCCGAGAUGUGGCACAAUAUCAAGAAGCCUUAAAUAACCAUCCAAGUAUCCAACAUCUCCUCAGCCAUUGAGUUUGAGACUUUGAGUGAUGGUUUUCUGACGAAGAGGCAGUUGAAGUAACUCAUCGACAAUCCGAUACAAAUCUUUAAGGCCGGUAAGCUUGUUGGUCAGGGAUGAAGUAGAUGUGGCUUGAGAAGACUUCAAUCUGCACAAAUGCUCAUCCAGUUGAUCAGCAAUUGGGUGAAGUUUUGAUGGAAAACUGAGAGAACGAGUGUGGUGAGAUGCCAUUUUUUCUUGUUCUUUUUAGUUUGUUUUAAAGGUAGAGAACCUACAAGAUGCAAAGUUUUGUUUGAUGGGUUGCUCUUCCUUCCAAGUCUGUUUAUAUAUCAAAGUAAUAGAAGACAGAAGGAAUCUUAUAAUUAGUAAUAAAUAACAUGAUUUCAUAUUUCUUAUUAA